GCAGUGGUGGCCGAGUGGUUAAGGCGAUGAACUAGAAAUCCAUUGGGGUCUCCCCACACAGGUUCGAAUCCUGUCAACUGCG
rnacentral:tRNA from 1 species